AGGCCCAUAGCCAAGGGGUAAGGCAAGGGACUUUGACUCCCUCAUUCGUUGGUUCAAAUCCAGCUGGGCCUGCCA
rnacentral:tRNA from 4 species